AGUGAACGCUGGCGGUAGGCCUAACACAUGCAAGUCGAACGGCAGCACAGUAAGAGCUUGCUCUUACGGGUGGCGAGUGGCGGACGGGUGAGGAAUACAUCGGAAUCUACUUUUUCGUGGGGGAUAACGUAGGGAAACUUACGCUAAUACCGCAUACGACCUACGGGUGAAAGCAGGGGAUCUUCGGACCUUGCGCGAUUGAAUGAGCCGAUGUCGGAUUAGCUAGUUGGCGGGGUAAAGGCCCACCAAGGCAACGAACCGUAGCUGGUCUGAGAGGAUGAUCAGCCACACUGGAACUGAGACACGGUCCAGACUCCUACGGGAGGCAGCAGUGGGGAAUAUUGGACAAUGGGCGCAAGCCUGAUCCAGCCAUACCGCGUGGGUGAAGAAGGCCUUCGGGUUGUAAAGCCCUUUUGUUGGGAAAGAAAAGCAGCAGGUUAAUACCCCGCUGUUCUGACGGUACCCAAAGAAUAAGCACCGGCUAACUUCGUG
rnacentral:rRNA from 1 species